UACGAAGGGGGCGAGCGUUGUUCGGAAUUACUGGGCGUAAAGGGCGCGUAGGCGGUCCUUCAAGUCAGGCGUGAAAGCCCCGGGCUCAACCUGGGAACCGCGCUUGAGACUGGCGGACUCGAGUUCGGGAGAGGAUGGUGGAAUUCCCAGUGUAGAGGUGAAAUUCGUAGAUAUUGGGAAGAACACCGAUGGCGAAGGCAGCCAUCUGGACCGACACUGACGCUGAGGCGCGGAAGCGUGGGGAGCAAACAGG
rnacentral:rRNA from 1 species